UUUCACUUUCUAGCUAGUGCGAAUGAACAACAACAAAGACUGCCAAAUGACAACUUUGAUAACCAGUUCUUGAAGAUUAAGGCCAAUUAUUCUGCCUGGUAGAGAGCAUUUAACGUCAAAUAAUAGACAAUGUGUAAUGCUGAGUAAAACAAUGUUGCAACAACACAAAGUGAAAGCUAACAGCGGAGUUUAUAACAUACCGCUAGCCUUAUCCAGUGCUUAGUUUUUUUAUGAUCUGUACAUGAACACACAAUCGUUUACUAUCCUGAGCAAUAACGAGUUUGUACGUUUAAGACUAGACUUUGAAGGCCCCCAUGCUACUGAGAUCACGUCGCCUGCUAAACCAACGAGCUUGCUAGCACCAGCUAUUCAAUAAAUUAUUGCCGUUUGUCUACAGGGAGUGCUGUUGUUGUUCAGUGGCUCCAAAUAGUGCAGCAAAUGUAAAGCAGCAAGCCCAAUAAAUUAAGCAAGUAUACAUACUGGCCAAUGAAAGCAUUCUGUGCGAACAACCAGGGGUUAGCAUGCUAAUGCUAGCCAACGUAACGUCAAUGCGGCUAUGCUAACCGGGAACUUACCGUCUGAUUCGGCCCGAACUAAUAAUGAUAUUCCCUUCAGCCGUUCAACAAAGGUAGACGAAACGUGUCCGGUACCCCGAUCGUCCCACUGCCUGUCUUCAUUCAGCGUAUAUACUUUCACUCGCCGCCGAGUGUCCGACAUGGUUAACCGAGUCGGAGCUAGCAGGCUAGCUGGCUGCUAACAAGCUAUCACCUCACCCCGUCUGGUGUUUUCCUACCCUCGACCUGUUAACUUUGUUUCCACCCGCAUGUUAUAAAACAUGCACGUCUAAGUGAAGUUCACAAUGGCGACAAAGUGUAUCGGUAGCUAUUUCAUAAACAUAUUACGUUCCCGAUGUGAAACAACUAAAGUGGAGGCCCAAAACCGAGAAGUAAAAUUUACUGAGAACACAACAACUCUAACGGCCUCCUUGCUAACGUCCACAGACCGCCAUCUUGUAAUCCGAUCUUGUGUUCUUUUUCUUCUUCGACGUCAAUCAAGCGCUAACUGCCGCGGGGUCUCCUCCUCCGAGCGACACCAUCCAAUGGCAAUGACCGCAGCACCACAACUACAACGCGCCACCUAGAGGUGAAGACUCACGUCAUCUUUGCAGAUGUCACUGAUGAAGUCUUGGGCUUCAUUCAUGGCUCCUGGUGUUGGUGCGAACACAGAGAAAGUCUCCUCGUCCACCUGACUUAUUGUCACACCUUCAGAAGAGAAACCAAAACUCCAGUUUCAAAAUUCUGUUAAAAAGUCUGUAUUGUGAAAAAACAAACUUCAUUGACAAAGCUGUUGGUUUCCUGAGUCAGUUAAAAUAUGAAUUUUAGAUUACACACGUUACCUGUUUGAGCUUGUAGCCUGCGAAGGUUAUAGCCGCCUGGACCAACAAAGCGUGCUCGUCUGGAAACAGGCACCCGGACAUUUUCUGAGGACAGAAUGAAACUCACAAACAUCAGUUAUCAAUACACAAUAAAAAAAGGUAUCUAGCUCCA